UUCCAUGGUAACGGCGGCCAUUUUGAAUAUUCCAAAGUCAAACCCCCGCUGCAAUUUUUUCCCUCCAUAAUCAUAUACCAUCAUAUACCAUUUAAUGUCUCUAGAAUAAAUUUAACAUUGAUGUUCUGGAAUGUUCUGUGAAAAUUCAAAGUUUUGACCUUUUUGCAUUGUUUCCAUGGUAACAACAGAUAUUUUGGAAAUUCCAACGCCAAAUUCCACAUCUUCCAAUGUUG
rnacentral:lncRNA from 1 species